AGUCACUGACAUUAGAUACCCGCGUAGUCCCAGCCGUAAACUAUGCGCGUUAGGUGUAUCGGUGACCACGAGUUACCGAGGUGCCGAAGGGAAACCGUGAAACGUGCCGCCUGGGAAGUACGGUCGCAAGGCUGAAACUUAAAGGAAUUGGCGGGGGAGCACCACAACAGGUGGAGCCUGCGGUUUAAUUGGACUCAACACCGUAAACUCACCAGGGAAGACUGUUACAUGAAGGCCGAGAUGAAGACUCUGCUAGAUUUUCAG
rnacentral:rRNA from 1 species